CGCACAUUGCGCCCCUCGGUAUUCCGGGGGGCAUACCUGUUCGAGCGUCAUUACACCUCUCAAGCGUAGCUUGGUAUUGGGCCUCGCUCCCUCAUAAGGGGCGUGCCUGAAAAGUAGUGGCGGUCCGGCGUGGCCUUGAACGUAGUAAAUUUACCCCCGUUCUGAAGGUCCGCGUCGCGGCUGGCCAGAACUGUCCACCUCUCAAGAAUUGACCUCGGAUCAGGUAGGGAUACCCGCUGAACUUAA
rnacentral:misc_RNA from 1 species